rnacentral:lncRNA from 1 species
GUAACUGGGGAAGCCAAUUGCCUGGCAGUGUCUGGAAAAUACAUCUUUGUUGGUCUGUGCGUGGAUAUGGCUGCCUUCAGGAUGUUUGACUGUGAGCAGGUCAGUGCUUGGGAUGUAGUCAAGACAGAGGUUUGUGCCAUCAGCUCCACAGAGUUAGGGAAUGGGAACCACACUGCGCAGGCUGUGGAUGGAAUUGGUGAGUGGGACAUGGGUUUCCCCAUCUUGACUUGCGGGUCGCUGUGCUGAAAAGUUGGCAGCUACUUUAUGGAAGGGUGCUAAAUCAGGAGGAGUGUGAGUAUGGCUGACAGGUUUCCUAGAAAGCCCUGCAGAGAAAGGUGUUAGAUAACAGAUUGUAAGGUGAUAGAGUGGCCCUAGGGCCUUGGGAUUAGAAAAGGGUGUGGGUUCGGUGUCCUGACUGGAACAGCAAAGGCAGAUGUGGAGCUGAGGCUGAAGUGCAAUAUAUUUUAGGAAUACAUUGGACCAGACAGAAAAAAGCAUUGUUAAGUGUCACCUCUUGCCUCUGCUUUGUUUCAGUAUCUGUAAUUGCACAGUCCCGUGGUAAAUAGGUUUGUUUCUUGAUUCAUCUGAAACCUGUCAUUUCUGGCAGAGAUAGCUUUCAAAAUCCAUUAUGCAUUGCUGAGUACAAUCGAGUGCUUGCUGGUGUUGACAUAAGGAAGCCAAUGAAAGUUUAUUGCUGGAAGCAGUGGGAUAUUCUUCCACCUGCCCAGGAAAAAAAUAUAGCCUUGUUCACACCCCAGCACGUUAUAACAGCCCUCUCUCAAGAGCACAGCUGCCAUCUGUUCACUUUCCUUCUGCAAAAUCUGUAUUUCCAUUGCAGGGCUUGUUUGACUCUUCUGCUUUCACAAGGAAACUUCCUGCUCAUUAAAAUCCUAAACGAGGUGGUCUUUCCCCAGGUCUUGCUCUUGCAAGCAGUGACAGCAAGAUACAGGCUGAACGAGUCUGGCAGCCCAUAUGCGUCUCUGCAGCUGCUCCAGCCACCCAGCCCACAUUGCACAAGGCCUUUGUGCUACUGGAACAUGUGUACUCUCCCAGGACAUGCUUUCCAACAGGAUUCCUUUGGUCCCAGGGCCAGCAUUCCUGCUGCCCCUCCCUGA